GCCAGCAGCCAUAUCACCCUGCAACUCACAACUGGUAACCCACUGAAGCUAAGCAGGUGUGAGCCUGGUCAGUACCUGGAUGGGAAACCUCCUGGGAAAAACUAAGGUUGCUGCUGGAA
ensembl:rRNA 5S_rRNA 5S ribosomal RNA